GGCACGCCUAACACAUGCAAGUCGAACGCAGUAGCAAUACUGAGUGGCAAACGGGUGAGUAUAAUGUGGGAAUCUGCCUUCUGGUUUGGAAUAACACGGGGAAACUUGUGCUAAUACCGAAUAAGCCUUUACGGGGAAAGUUUUAAUGCCGGAAGAUGAGCCCGCACUUGAUUAGCUAGUUGGUAAGGUAAAAGCUUACCAAGGCAACGAUCAAUAGCUGUUCUUAGAGGAAGACCAGCCACAUUGGGACUGAGACACGGCCCAGACUCCUACGGGAGGCAGCAGUGGGGAAUCUUGCACAAUGGGGGAAACCCUGAUGCAGCGAUGCCGCGUGAGUGAAGAAGGCCCUUGGGUUGUAAAACUCUUUCGUCGGGGAAGAAAAUGACUGUACCCGAAUAAGAAGGUC
rnacentral:rRNA from 1 species